AUUGAACGCUGGCGGUAUGCCUUACACAUGCAAGUCGAACGGCAGCACGGGAGCAAUCCUGGUGGCGAGUGGCGAACGGGUGAGUAAAGUAUCGGAACGUGCCCAGUCGUGGGGGAUAACGUAGCGAAAGCUACGCUAAUACCGCAUACGAUCUAUGGAUGAAAGUGGGGGAUCGCAAGACCUCGCGCGAUUGGAACGGCCGAUAUCAGAUUAGGUAGUUGGUGGGGUAAAGGCCUACCAAGCCGACGAUCUGUAGCUGGUCUGAGAGGACGACCAGCCACACUGGGACUGAGACACGGCCCAGACUCCUACGGGAGGCAGCAGUGGGGAAUUUUGGACAAUGGGCGCAAGCCUGAUCCAGCAAUGCCGCGUGCAGGAUGAAGGCCUUCGGGUUGUAAACUGCUUUUGUACGGAGCGAAAAGGCUUCCACUAAUACUGGGGGCUCAUGACGGUACCGUAAGAAUAAGCACCGGCUAACUACGUGCCAGCAGCCGCCGUAA
rnacentral:rRNA from 1 species